AUAAAGUUUUAUUUUGGCUUAAAAAUUCGUUUUUAAUUUGAUUUAUAUGUAAAUUUUUGUGUGAGUUUUUAUUAAUUUUAAUAAUUAAUAAUUUAAAAAUAUAUUCGCAGUAAUUAGUAUUAUUGAUUAAAGAAAUUUAGAAAUAGUAAUAUUAAAAAGUAUUGGCAAAAUUGGUGCCAGCAGUCGCGGUUACACCAAUAAUACGAAUGAAUUUUAUUAGUAAAAGUUAAAUUGUUUAAUUUAAAAAUAAAAUUAAAUUUAUUAGGUGAAAUUUUAAAUUUAAAAUAUUUUUUUAUAAAUUAAUUGAAGCUUAAAAAUUUUAGUAAAAAACUAGGAUUAGAUACCCUAUUAUUUAAAAUGUAUUUUAUUAUACUAAAGUAGUAUUAGUUAUGUGCUUGAAACUUAAAAAAUUUGGCGGUAUUUUAGUCUAUUCAGAGGAACCUGUUUUGUAAUCGAUAAUCCACGAUGGACCUAACUUAAAUUUGUUUUUCAGUUUAUAUACCGUCGUUAUCAGAAUAUUUUAUAAGAAUAAUAAUAUUCAAUAAUUUUAAUAAAAAUAUAUAUCAGAUCAAGGUGUAGCUUAUAUUUAAGUAAUAAUGGGUUACAAUAAAUAUAUUUAAAUGGAGAUAAAUAUGAAAAAUUUAUUGAAAGUGGAUUUGAUAGUAAAAUUAUAAAGAUUAAUAAUUUGAUUUUAGCUCUAAAAUAUGUACACAUCGCCCGUCGCUCUUAUUAUUAAGAUAAGAUAAGUCGUAACAUAGUAGAUGUACUGGAAAGUGUAUCUAGAAUGAC
rnacentral:ncRNA from 1 species